rnacentral:tRNA from 1 species
CCAUCGAUAAUGCUAUGGAUCAGCAUGGCAGACCGGAUAUUUGUAUGUGCGGGUUCAAGUCCCGCUUGAGGUU